UACGAAGGGUGCAAGCGUUACUCGGAAUUACUGGGCGUAAAGCGUGCGUAGGUGGUGAGUUAAGUCUGUCGUGAAAGCCCCGGGCUCAACCUGGGAAUGGCGAUGGAUACUGGCUCGCUAGAGUGCGGUAGAGGAGAGUGGAAUUCCCGGUGUAGCAGUGAAAUGCGUAGAUAUCGAGAGGAACACCUGCGGCGAAGGCGGGUUGCUGGGCUGAUACUGACGCUGAGGCGCGAAAGCCAGGGAGCGAACGGG
rnacentral:rRNA from 1 species